UGGGGCUUUUCGCCUUUUUUCACUACCAGUGAUUCUGUCGGUCCACCUCCGGAAUACCCAGAUCUGACUUUGGGAUUCUACGACCACACAUCACGUGAAAAAAGUUUUCUCUACAAGUGCAAAAAGGCAGAAUUUCCCAACAGUGCAAGGAAUCUUUUCUGGGAAAGGUCUAAACAGGCAUCGCGAAAACGACCUCCGGCGGCACGAUUUUCUGCUGAAAAAUUGCAAAAAAUUUACGAUAUUUUUUGCUAAUUCCAAACUUUGGGGACUAGUAGUACUGCUCAAGGGGGUCACAAAACUACAAAGAAAUAUUAUACGAAAUUUUUUCUGUUUUGUGACACCCGGGGGGGCAGGUACCUACCCAUAGCUUCCGACAUUUCGGAAGAACUUCCAAUCGUAGUCUGUUGCUUCGACCCGAUAGAAGCAACCAUCCCAUUUAUGGCUCCUUUUACUAAGGAUCAUAAAAAGAAAGCUCUU
rnacentral:lncRNA from 1 species